GAAUCACAAUCAUAUUUAUUUAGGGUUAACUUUAGAAUAUGUGAAAUUUGUUUGUAGAAAUUGAAUGAUAGAAAAGCAUCUCAUAUGACUAGAUGAAAGAGGAGGAGUAAUCUCUAGGCUGGUCGACCUUUCACAAGGGGCUAGGUUCUGGCAAUGGGUUGGAUUUAAGGUUAGGCAUACAAUUGGGCUAGUCUUUUUAUGCCUUGUGCUGAAACUAGCUGUAAGGUGUUGAUUUUUAAGUGGGGUUGGUUUUGACAGUUAUGCUGGAUUGGGGUUGAGUUGAAGGUCUUACCAUUUUGUGGUUAGUUGGGGUUAGGGUUGGAUUAAUGGGUCUUCACUCCCUUUAUGUCGUUGCAGACAAGCAGGGGACACAGACCGUGGAACUGUGAUGUUUAUUUGGGCUCAUUGAUGUUGCUUCUCCUGGUGUAAUAGGGAAUUCAGCCAGCCAAACUCCCACACUCCAGCCAUCAGGUUGUUAUGACUGGUAGAUGCUAAGUGCUAGUUUUCUCCUGAUUUUGGUGGUAAAUGUGGAGACAAUAGGCAAACCCAACUUCUUAGGUCUGCUUCAGUACCCCUCUAGAUAGGUGAUGAAAGAUGAGGCGAGACCUCUAGGCUUUUCCAAGAUAGCAAUGCUCAAACCCAGACCUGGUAAAGAAUUGAGAUUGGAUUAAUGGAAUUAUGUCUGUUGGUGCAAAUAGACCAGAAAGUGGAUUUUGAUAUGAUUCUCAAUCAGUCUAGAAUCGAGA
rnacentral:lncRNA from 1 species